GGCCUAACACAUGCAAGUCGAGCGCCCGUAGCAAUACGGGAGCGGCAGACGGGAGAGUAACACGUGGGAACGUACCCUUCAGUUCGGAACAACCCAGGGAAACUUGGGCUAAUACCGAAUACGUCCGUAAGGAGAAAGAUUUAUCGCUGAAGGAUCGGCCCGCGUCUGAUUAGCUAGUUGGUGAGGUAACGGCUCACCAAGGCGACGAUCAGUAGCUGGUCUGAGAGGAUGAUCAGCCUCAUUGGGACUGAGACACGGCCCAAACUCCUACGGGAGGCAGCAGUGGGGAAUAUUGGACAAUGGGCGCAAGCCUGAUCCAGCCAUGCCGCGUGGAUGAUGAAGGCCCUAGGGUUGUAAAGUCCUUUCGGCGGGGAAGAUAAUGACGGUACCCGCAGAAGAAGCCCCGGCUAACUUCGUGCCAGCAGCCGCGGUAAUACGAAGGGGGCUAGC
rnacentral:rRNA from 1 species